GAUGAACGCUGGCGGCGUGCCUAAUACAUGCAAGUCGAGCGAACAGACGAUGAGCUUGCUCCUCUGACGUUAGCGGCGGACGGGUGAGUAACACGUGGAUAACCUACCUAUAAGACUGGGAUAACUUCGGGAAACCGGAGCUAAUACCGUAUAAUAUAUUGAACCGCAUUGUUCAAUAGUGAAAGACGGUUUUGCUGUCACUUAUAGAUGGAUGCGCGCCGCAUUAGCUAGUUGGUAAGGUAACGGCUUACCAAGGCAACGAUGCGUAGCCGACCUGAGAGGGUGAUCGGCCACCCUGGAACUGAGACACGGUCCAGACUCCUACGGGAGGCAGCAGUAGGGAAUCUUCCGCAAUGGGCGAAAGCCUGACGGAGCAACGCCGCGUGAGUGAUGAAGGUCUUCGGAUCGUAAAACUCUGUUAUUAGGGAAGAACAAAUGUGUAAGUAACUAUGCACGUCUUGACGGUACCUAAUCAGAAAGCCACGGCUAACUACGUG
rnacentral:rRNA from 1 species